GGUACGCAUGCAGAAAGUUGAAAACAGACUCGGGAAAAUUGAUUUGAGAGAGCUUGCAUCAGCUGAGAGCCCAUAUACUUUCACACUUGUUUACAAGCACAUCCUCAAACAACAACCUGAUUACCCAGUAAGUAUGGUUUAAUGUCCUACUUGAUAAUUUAUUUUAUCUGAUUGAAUAAGCAGUUUACUCAGUUCCGCUUGACAGCUUGAGAGAUAAAAAAGGUUGAAUCUUGAUGAGUUUCUCUAUUUAUUUUAUCGGUUCACCCUCUGCCACAUUUCAACACCAACUAUUCAUUGUAAGGCCACCCGUAGUGGGGCGUUUUUUUUUUAAAAAAAUUCAAAAAAAACGCCGGAAAACGCCCCGGACCCCAUUACACCCGGCGUUUCCGGGCGUUUUUUUUGUUCAAAUUUGUUGUUGGCGUUUUUUUUAAAACGCUCGUUUUGUUUUGUGGAAUGGUUGACCCACCAAUCACCAUUUGUUUCCUUUUUUUUUUUUAAUAAUUGGAAGGGGCGUUAUUGGAAUAAUGCCCCACUACGCCACUUUUGCUAUAAUGCCCAACGCUGACUAGGAUGCCAUGUGUCAGAUAAUGCCCCAUGGUGGGGGCAUUAUUUUUGUUCACCACUACGGGUGGUCUAAGGGUUAAUGUGUUGAUAAUGGCCUGAAGUCUGUUUGUAUACAUACAACCGCCUAAUCAUUUUAUUCAAAGUUUUAUAAAAAUAGACAAGAUCUUAUCCUGAUCAACAAAUUCGACCCGAUCCGUUUCAACCUGAAUCCAUUUGUCCUUUGACCCAAUCCGCUUCAAUAUAGAAGCCACAAAAUAUUAUUGGCAGCAAUGGAAGACUUGAUGUUGAAGGGAACGCGAAAUGCUGAUAAAGCGUUCUUCCAUCAGUUAAUCAUUUCUUUAAUAAUUUUUUUUAUAAGGAUUUGAUAUAAUAAAUAAUUUUUUUGGGUUGCGGGCACUUCUUUCUCUGUACUCAGCUAGCAGUCUGGCAUCUGUGAUGAGUUUAAUGUUUGGCCAAUGCUGGAAUACUUAUGGACACGACUGAUGUUGCUGGUGGACAUACGCUAAGGGUCAUGUUUGAAGGUGUUGUUACCUUGCAUGUACUUAUAAUUAGAGGAAUUUGAGUAUUGUUCAUGUUUCAUAUGCUUUUGUUGAAUUUUAGUCAUAAAUUCAUAUGCUUAUGAACUUGAUAGUUAA